GAUGAAGAACGUAGCGAAAUGCGAUAAGUAAUGUGAAUUGCAGAAUUCAGUGAAUCAUCGAAUCUUUGAACGCACAUUGCGCUCGCCAGUAUUCUGGCGAGCAUGCCUGUUCGAGCGUCAUUUCAACCAUCAAGCUCUGCUUGCGUUGGGGAUCCGCGGCUGUCCGCGGUCCCUCAAAAUCAGUGGCGGGCUCGCUAGUCACACCGAGCGUAGUAACUCUACAUCGCUAUGGUCGUGCGGCGGGUUCUUGCCGUAAAACCCCCCAUUUCUAAGGUUGACCUCGGAUCAGGUAGGAAUACCCGCUGAACUUAAGCAUAUCAAUAAGCGGAGGA
rnacentral:misc_RNA from 1 species